GCGGUAGUAGUAUAGUGGUUAUUAUACGGCCUUGCCAAGGCUGUGACCAGGGUUCAAAUCCCUGCUACCGCA
rnacentral:tRNA from 1 species